rnacentral:rRNA from 1 species
CCUACGGGUGGCAGCAGUGAGGAAUAUUGGUCAAUGGCCGAAAGCCUGAACCAGCCAAGCCGCGUGAAGGACGAAGGCGCUAAGCAUUGUAAACUUCUUUUGUCUAGGGACAAAACCCGGCACGUGUGCCUGACUGCGUGUAUCCGAAGAAAAAGCAUCGGCUAACUCCGUGCCAGCAGCCGCGGUAAUACGGAGGAUGCGAGCGUUAUCCGGAUUUAUUGGGUUUAAAGGGUGCGUAGGCGGACCGUUAAGUCAGCGGUAAAAGUGCGGGGCUCAACCCCGGCGAGCCGUUGAAACUGGCAGUCUUGAGUUGGCGAGAAGUACGCGGAAUGCGCGGUGUAGCGGUGAAAUGCAUAGAUAUCGCGCAGAACUCCGAUUGCGAAGGCAGCGUACCGGCGGCAGACUGACGCUGAGGCACGAAAGCGUGGGUAUCGAACAGGAUUAGAUACCCGAGUAGUC